GAUGAACGCUAGCUACAGGCUUAACACGUGCAAGUCGAGGGGUAACGAGAGGAAAGCUUGCUUUCCUUGUCGACGACCGGCGCACGGGUGAGUAACGCGUAUCCAACCUGCCCCCAACUAGGGAAUAACCUUGCGAAAGUAAGACUAAUACCCUAUAAUUUCCUCAGAUGACAUCUGACGAGGAAUAAAGAUUUAUCGGUUGUGGAUGGGGAUGCGUCUGAUUAGCUUGUUGGCGGGGUAACGGCCCACCAAGGCAACGAUCAGUAGGGGUUCUGAGAGGAAGGUCCCCCACAUUGGAACUGAGACACGGUCCAAACUCCUACGGGAGGCAGCAGUGAGGAAUUUUGGACAAUGGGCGCAAGCCUGAUCCAGCCAUUCCGCGUGCAGGAUGAAGGCCCUCGGGUUGUAAACUGCUUUUGUACGGAACGAAAAAGCCCUUUCUAAUACAGAGGAUCCAUGACGGUACCGUAAGAAUAAGCACCAGCUAACUACGUGCCAGCCGCCGCGGUAA
rnacentral:rRNA from 1 species